AACAUUAAAAAAGAAAAAGAAAAAUGACUUGACUGUUCUUAUAAUGAAUUAGUGUCCCAGAGCUUCAUCACAUGAUAAGCAAAGCAUUUGGGAUUGCUGGUUUUCCCUUAAGAUUCGAAAUGCCCCAUUUGGAAAUUAAACGGAUCAUUUUCCUCCCGCAUCACACUUCUCUUUUUCUCAGCUUUCUUUAGGAUUUAUCUGUUUGAUUUUCCAUCACGCGGUAAAAACGUAUUUCUUCCCAUUGUCCUACCUCUGUUUUCUUUCUUUUCUUUUUUUUAAACUUCUAUCUUUGUAAUCUCGGGAGUUCAACUUACAGCUCAAAAAACUCACAACAACAUAUAGAGAGCUUUUUCUUACUUUGGAGAAUCAAGAACAGGAGGGAGGGGGAAAUGAAGGUUUGAAAGAAGCUUUGUAAUGUUUCUCUCUACAAGCCUUUUGAUAGACAAAACAAAACCCAACCGCAUAACAGGAGUUUCAGAGAGGCAAUUGAGAAAAGAGUAGGUAAGAGUUUAAAAGGACUUUUAUGACCUAGAAGGGAGAAAACACAGGAAGAGGGGGCAUAGUUGAAAGAGGGAGCUUGCUAGAUAGAAAGUUACAGCCAUACUAGAAGAAACACAAGAUUUGCAUGCUUUGCUAUGUUUUUCUCCUGAAUGUUUUGAAUAUCUUUGAACGUUUGCUAUACCUCCUCAAUCCCAAAAUGGGAAUAGUGGAAGAAAAGAAUCACUACUGCCUAUCACUGUUGUGACUGCGCCUUCGGGGAUUAUGGUUGAUGGUGAUGGGAUUCGAAGAGGAAGAAAAAACCCUCGUCAUGAGGGUUCACUGGAGAAGUUGCGCAGGAAGCGACUUAGAGAGCUAUAUGGGGGAUCUUCUGAGGAAGAUUCAGAUGGGGAGUUUGGGGAAAUGGAUGCUGAAGAACAGGUGGUGGCUGGAGAAGUGGGCACUGAAUGGGCACAGCCAUCGGAGAUGUCUGGGGAUUUGGGGCCUAUGGAUACUUCUGAACCUGGGGUUUCUGCAGGAGCUGAUCCCACUUGGGAUGCUUGGAGAAGGGAAGAUGGUUCUUUAAGUGUUCAUGGGGCUAAGUGUGGGCAGGAUGAUUGGGACUCCGACGAAUUGCUAGGUACUCCGGAUCCACGAGCUCUAGCUGUGUGGAGUUCGGACUCUGAGUAGAUUUGGGACACCUGGUGUUUGGGUGUGAGUGUUUGGUCACCCAGGAGGAAGGGGAAUAAAAUGGGAAUGUUUGGCCAUUGCACUUUGCGUGUGGCAAGGUGUUGCUGAGGCGCCAUUGGGAUCUCUGUGUUUCCGUGAAGACUGGACUUGGACUGUGAUUCGGAUCUGCUGAUACCAUCUGGCUUGGCUCUCGCUGUGUCUUAUCGUGGACCUGGUUUGGAUGACUGCACCCUC